rnacentral:lncRNA from 1 species
UUUACACUCGGAUUGAAGUCUCCUGCUUUCUCCAAACUGAGUGGCUAUCGCGAGAUUUAUUCACCUACGUUCCUGUCUUUCCUCUGACGCAGCCACCGCACUGAAGCAAUCGUUUCCUCAAGAGACAACUAUUUCAAUAUCCAGUUCAGUGGUCCUGCAUCAAGAAUCUCUAUAGUCCAGCCCCCAAGUCUAUCAAGGAGAUCUACCUCAUAUAUAUAUCUGACCACAUUACCAGACACACCUGAUGCAAUAAAUUCCGUUUAAAGUGAUAGCUACGUGGAAUGGAUAGAUGAAGUGAGAGGAGCUUAUAAAUGAAUAGUUAUCUUUCAAAUUCAUCACUGAGCUACGAAUCUGAAGCUCUACAAUUAAGAUCAAUCCCAUAUCCUUAGAGAAAGGAGACAAAGUAAUGGGCCUCAGGAGUUUGUGGAUUAAAUGACCUUGCCAGCCUUUUAGGUAGGGGACUAGGAAGAGGUAUGAAGAUUCUCUGUUAUGGAAGGAAGCCUGAGAUUGCCAUUUCAUUAUUCCUCACAUUGCUGCAUUGCUCUGGAAUUCAUCAGACUCCUGCUCUGGGUAUCUUCCCUAUCCCUUUGCUCCCUCAAUCUGCUUUUCACCUUUGUUUUAUAUAUUGUCUUCAUGCAUUCAAUUGUGAACUCCUUGAGGGCAGGGAAUACCUUGUGUUUUUCUUUGGGUCCUCAACACUUAACACAGUGCCAGGUACAUGGUUAUUUAAUAAAAGU